UUACAAAUGAGACUAGUGCAGGGUAACAGUGAACGUGGAAAAAGUAAGACCUCAUCUACUUUGAAAUCUGCAGGCAUCAGCCAUCCAGUCCUGUUUGCUAUCAAUGUUACAGCAGCAGCUUCUGUGAUUGGUGAUGGGAGCAUGAAUGCUGUUAAAUACUGUUGUCUUCAUAAAAAUGACGGAGCAAGCUGAACAUUUCAUUCCACAGAGGAAACAGUCCAGAAGAGUCAGAUGGCCAUCCAAUCAGAAAAGUCCCAUCCUCUGUGUACAACCUGAAGAGUCAAGGGAUAAGAAACACGGAAAAUGUGACCAGACACCCACACAGGACUCCCACCUCCUAUGGUGCACCCGUGAUCAGGAAAUCCUUGUCCAGGAAGAUGAAGUGGAAAAAAAGCCCUUCUAUUUAUUUCAGAGCCUCCUAAAUUUUUAUGUGAAAAAUCAAUUUGUUCUCAUUAAAUGCAUGGCAUCCUCUCAGAACAAUAGAUCACCCCACUGGGCUCAUGAAAGGGUCGUUUGCUCUUUUAAGACUUCUUCAAGUGCCUGCCCUCACUGUGCCCAUUAACCCUGUGCCGCUAAAGUAUGAGCUUCCUUCAGAACCAAGCACAUCAUUUGGGUGAGCAGCAUGGCAGGCAUUAAACAUGCCCCCAAACUUUGAAAUGCUGCUUCCUGAAAGAACACAGAAGAAACACGUCAGAACAUUUGCAAGGAGUUUUUGGACAUGACCCUAAGACCACAGGAAGCAAAGACAAAAAUAGAAAAAAAAUUAACUUUCAUCAAAUUACAAAGUGUCCG
rnacentral:lncRNA from 1 species